rnacentral:rRNA from 1 species
CCUACGGGGGGCAGCAGUAGGGAAUCUUCCGCAAUGGACGAAAGUCUGACGGAGCAACGCCGCGUGAGCGAAGAAGGUCUUCGGAUCGUAAAGCUCUGUUGUUAGGGUAGAACAAGUACGGGAGGUAAUGACCGUACCUUGACGGUACCUGACGAGGAAGCUACGGCUAACUACGUGCCAGCAGUCGCGGUAAUCCGUAGGUGGCAAGCGUUGUCCGGAAUUAUUGUGCGUAAAGCGCGCGCAGGCGGUCUUUUAAGUACGAUGCUAAAUCUUGCGGAUCAUCCGCAAGCAGUCAUUGGAAACUGGGAGAUGUGAGUCCAGAAAAGGCAAGCGGAAGUCCACGUGCAGCGGUUAAAUGCGUAGGGAUGUGGAGGAACACCAGUGGCGAAGGCGGCUUUCUGGUCUGUAACUGACGCUGAAGCGCGAAAGCGUGGGGAGCAAACAGGAUUAGAUACCCGUGUAGUC